AGAUCAGGUUUCCCCUUCGGGGGCAAAAUGACAGGUGGUGCAUGGUUGUCGUCAGCUCGUGUCGUGAGAUGUUGGGUUAAGUCCCGCAACGAGCGCAACCCUUAUGACUAGUUGCCAGCAUUUAGUUGGGCACUCUAGUAAGACUGCCGGUGACAAACCGGAGGAAGGUGGGGAUGACGUCAAAUCAUCAUGCCCCUUAUGACCUGGGCUACACACGUGCUACAAUGGAUGGUACAACGAGUUGCGAGACCGCGAGGUCAAGCUAAUCUCUUAAAGCCAUUCUCAGUUCGGACUGUAGGCUGCAACUCGCCUACACGAAGUCGGAAUCGCUAGUAAUCGCGGAUCAGCACGCCGCGGUGAAUACGUUCCCGGGCCUUGUACACACCGCCCGUCACAC
rnacentral:rRNA from 1 species